rnacentral:rRNA from 1 species
UACAGAGGGAGCUAGCGUUGUUCGGAAUUACUGGGCGUAAAGCGCGCGUAGGCGGCUUUGUAAGUUAGAGGUGAAAGCCCGGGGCUCAACCCCGGAACUGCCUUUAAGACUGCAUCGCUUGAAUCCGGGAGAGGUGAGUGGAAUUCCGAGUGUAGAGGUGAAAUUCGUAGAUAUUCGGAAGAACACCAGUGGCGAAGGCGGCUCACUGGACCGGCAUUGACGCUGAUGUGCGAAAGCGUGGGGAGCAAACAGG